UACGGAGGGUGCAAGCGUUAAUCGGAAUUACUGGGCGUAAAGCGUGCGCAGGCGGUUUGUUAAGUCCGUUGUGAAAGCCCCGAGCUCAACUUGGGAAUUGCAGUGGAUACUGGCAGGCUGGAGUACGGUAGAGGAAGGUGGAAUUCCCGGUGUAGCAGUGAAAUGCGUAGAUAUCGGGAGGAACACCAGUGGCGAAGGCGAGUCUCUGGACAUUUCCUGACGCUGAGGCACGAAAGCCAGGGGAGCAAACGGG
rnacentral:rRNA from 1 species